CCAGUGGUGGAUUUGGCUCUGCUCCCAUUCCUCCCUCGUUCUUUAGUCUUUAUGCCCUUUAGCUCAGGGGCUGUGGGGGGAGGACAGCUUUAGAGCAGACGGUUUAACCCGGAUUGGUCUUCUAGGUUUUUCAAAACCUUCCAGCAACACAACUUUGAAUCCAUGCCCUACCAGGAAAAUCCAAAAGUUAAUACACCUUUGCUGAAACAAAUUAUAUGAUGAUAAAAUGCCAAAUUCCCAAGCUCACUCUCAAGAUGCUAUAAAUUAUAACACUAGUGACCUCACCUCUUUUUUCCUGCAACAGUACAAUAAGACUAUUCUGCGAUAUGCCAUCUAAUAACGUACUGAUUUUUUUAAAGAAAUGAAAUCUGAAAUGUUCAUGACAAUACAUCCUUCUAUGAAUAUUAGAAGUGAUUGUUACCUUAGAAAGAGUGACUGAUAUUUGCAAAUGGAACUCAUUCCAUAAAUAGGACAUGUUGAAGAUGCCACUGUGUUGACUUAGCGAUGAAGACUUAUUCCCAGACGUGACAUAUGAGUGGAUCCCUACAUGCUCUGUCCAGUGCUCUUAAAAAAUGGAUGGGGUGCAAUUUAAUCUUUGGCCAGUCUUGGGCUAGAGGCUAGUCUUCCUUCCACACUGCACAAGGCCCACCUCCAUUCCUGUUUGUUCAGGGAUGCCUUUCCUGACUGCUGGCCCCCAGCCUCUUUCCCUGACUUGGGAUUCCCCACCCUUAGAGCUAACGACACACCAUCUAGGGUUAGAAUUCAUGUCCCCCAGUUGCCUCACUGAGAGCAGAUUGCUCUCCUCUGAGGGAGAAAAGUCUAGAAGAUGGAAAUCCUACCUCUCAAACUAGAAAGCUGGAAAUCUCUCUGCUUGUGGAUAUUGGACCUGUACCCCAGUAAACAGUCAGGGUGGCACUUUGAACCUGGGUCAAACCAUAAAAACACCUCGGUUUAGGUUACAUGAACCAGCAAGGGAAAUAGAUUUUUCAUUUUACUUCUUUUCAGACUGUGGCAGGGGCUUCACUGGCAAUGAAUGAUCACACCAAAUUGUUCUAAAUUAUAUAGGAAGAUUAUAAUCAUUAAUACAAUCACCUUCCACAAGAAAAUGAGUGUGCUAAAGCCAGCAAUCCAUGCCAGAGACCAGGAAUUUCACCUCUUAUUAGGGUGUCCGGCCAUCCUGAGAAUGCACAAGCCAUUCCUCGGAGCUACAAUGAGGCCAAAGAGGUCAUCUGGUUUGAGGAAAUGGCUCCUUCCCUCCUCCUACCCCUCUUUACCCACUAAGAAACCAAUGGUUACUUUUAUCAGUUUGGCAAAAAGACAAAGGGAAUGUGUAAUUCUGUACUUAACAUUCUUGGUUCCUAGGUCGGUGUUCGUAGUUCUCAGAGAACAAUGAAUGGAUAUUUGAAAAGUUUUGUGAAACUAAGGCUUCGAGGAGGAAAAGACCCAAAAUUAAAAGAAUGCCUUAAAAUACACUCCCUCUGAAUAUUCCACUCCCCUCGCUUUUCUCUCUCCAGCCAGGUCAUAUUCAGUCCUUAGGAGUUUUCCCAUGGGAGGAAGGUGAUGCAAGGUCCCUACACUGUCGGCAUUCAAACCCCAAUCAUCCUCCCCAGCUGUGUGGACUUAGGUAAGGAACUGAGCACCUCUCUGCCAUGAUCUCCACAUUAGUAAAUUGAGUGUCCUGCUCAGACUCAGUGCCUCCUGUGUGGCCCAUCAGCACAGACUGGAGAAGGGGAUGGUGUUUUUAAUUCCUAAGGCAUGUUGAAGAAAUCUGCCCGUGAUGUUGAAAGUUGCAAGAUGCAGCCACUGUACCUGCCAACUUCCUAAAAGUGUUUCUCUUGUGGAAUUCAAGGUGAAUGUAACAGCAAAGAAGUAAAGACAUUCACCUAGAAAAAAAUGACGGUUAACGAAUCAGUUAAAGCUGCGAGAAGACCUCCAGCAAAUUCUCCAGUUGUGUUUCAAGGCUUUUUGUUCUCCUUUGCAUCUUCAUUGGAUCAGAUCAACUGUAAAUUUGAAAAUGGGCUCAAAAUUAUACUUUAAGGGAUUAUUAAUGUUGUAUUUUGAUAAUGGCAUUACCAUUAUAUAAACAUUAAAAAAAAUAUGUGUCCCCUGAAAUAUUUAGUGGUGAAAUGACGUGUUGACUGGCAUUUUCAUAAAAAAACGCAAGUAAAACUAAAAAGUUUAUGUGUGUAUGUGUGUGUUGGUGGAGGGGGUGGUGGGAGAGGGGUAGGAGAUAAAACAACAAUGGUAAAGGUUGAUGGUUGUUGAAGCUGAGUGAUGGGGUCCACUGGAGGAUUGC